UGAACCCAGUCCCAGGUUUCCCCACCCGUGCGCUCUGGUUUUGAUCUCGGCAGCACUGGAUAUCCUUCCUGAGACUACGUGCCUCUGCCCGAGGGGGCCUAGCUGCUCUCAGCUUCCUAGCCGGGGAGCUGUUUUCUCUCUAAUGAUUCAACGAGGGAGGGCUGGUUGUUCGGGAGCGGGGAGACUGUGGGAUGGGGUCUGCUCCCAGAUCUGCCAGCGAGCCGCCUCGGGCGACAUCAUCACGACUCACUUCAUGUUUCAGCUCCGGCAUCUGCAAACCACAGCCCCAUGAAGAGGCCUGAUGAAGGAAAUUGGCUGCUGGCCCCAGCAAGAAACUUUUGAGAUUAUAGAGUGCAGACGCCGGCAAAAGAGGGCUUGCGUCGCUGCCUGGAAAAUGCACAGUGGGACUUUGAAGAGCUCUCCUUCUAAUUAUAGCGGCAAAGAGCAGGCCCGCUGGUCUGGGAA